rnacentral:rRNA from 1 species
UACGAGAGGCCCAAACGUUAUUCGGAAUUACUGGGCUUAAAGAGUUCGUAGGCGCAUUGCAAGUAGGGUGUGAAAGCCCUCGGCUCAACCGAGGAAUUGCGCUCUAAACUGCAGUGCUUGAGGACCUAGAGGUGAGCAGAACAGAUGGUGGAGCGGUGAAAUGCGUUGAUAUCAUCUGGAAUACCGGAGGCGAAAGGCGGCUCACUGGGAGUUUUCUGACGCUGAGGAACGAAAGCCAGGGUAGCGAACGGG